GAGGUUUUCAUGCUGCUUCCAAACCAAGACCUUGUUCCAGCCCAUCAUUCUAAUCUGCAUUUUGAAGCCCCACUUAAACCGUUUCCGAUCCUUCCCAUAUGGAACAAGCAGCACAGCUCGAUACUUAGAGCAGCUGAAUUUUCCAUACAGAGAGAUGUGAUCAUUUUGUGAAGAAAGGAAGUCAUCUGAAAUAAAUGUCAAUGGGAGCACGUUGCUGCUAAAUGUGAGCAGCAAAAGCCAUAAUCACCCAAGCCCCAUGAGAGUACGUGUCAUCUCUUCCUUGUUCACCUGCCAGGGACAUGGAAAACGAGCAGCAAUGCAGGGAGGCAGCACGGACUGUCGGAUUUGAAAUCACAGCCGGGGCUUUGAGAGCCAAAUCUCUGAAACUGCAAACUCCAGCUGUGCAUGUGAAAUCUGCAAACAGGAAUCACCCUGGCUAAACCCCCCUGUUCCUUCCAGGAACACGACUGUGCAAUCAGAGCCCUGGGGACUUCUGCAGUAUCUUCCAUCCCUUUGCAGUCUCCUGGACAUUUGGACAAGCUGGCUUUGCACAGAGAAGGAGAAAGGCUUAUCCUACUGAAAACCAGCUGGGAUAAACACAGCUCAAAACUACCAUGAGAUGCAGCAGUGGAAAAGGCUUUUCUGUCCCAGAAGAGUUUUCCUUUCCAUCCUCUUCUCACCAGCCAGAAGAUUUUUUCUGGGAAUUACCUUCCUGAUACUGCCAUUCCCCUUUUGCCACACUGAAAGAGGUAUUUCCCCACAACACACACCUGCUGUUUUGCAGUUUCUCUGGCUGCAAAAGGAGCAUUUUCAAGCUGUCUACCACAGUCAGGACUGACAUACUCUUGUCUGGAAAUUGCUGGACCAGAAAUUGGAAAAGGAGCAGCAAUGCUGAUGAGAAAGCAGAUUGUCAUUAUGGAUCAAAAUCUUCUCAUCAAGGACAUAAGCAAUAAAAUGCACAUGGUUUAAUGGCUCUGAGAUUUA